rnacentral:rRNA from 1 species
CCUACGGGAGGCAGCAGUGAGGAAUAUUGGACAAUGGUCGGAAGACUGAUCCAGCCAUGCCGCGUGCAGGAUGAAGGUCCUAUGGAUUGUAAACUGCUUUUGUAAGGGAAGAAUAAGGGGUACGUGUACUUUGAUGACGGUACCUUACGAAUAAGCAUCGGCUAACUCCGUGCCAGCAGCCGCGGUAAUACGGAGGAUGCGAGCGUUAUCCGGAAUCAUUGGGUUUAAAGGGUCUGUAGGCGGGCUGGUAAGUCAGAGGUGAAAGCGCUUAGCUCAACUAAGCAACUGCCUUUGAAACUGCUGGUCUUGAAUGGUUGUGAAGUAGUUGGAAUGUGUAGUGUAGCGGUGAAAUGCUUAGAUAUUACACAGAACACCGAUAGCGAAGGCAUAUUACUAACAAUUAAUUGACGCUGAUGGACGAAAGCGUGGGGAGCGAACAGGAUUAGAUACCCUGGUAGUCCACGCUGUAAACGAUGGAUACUAGCUGUUUGGUUUUAAGAUUGAGUGGCUAAGCGAAAGUGAUAAGUAUCCCACCUGGGGAGUACGCACGCAAGUGUGAAACUCAAAGGAAUUGACGG